rnacentral:misc_RNA from 1 species
GAUGAAGAACGCAGCGAAACGCGAUAAGUAAUGUGAAUUGCAGAAUUUAGUGAAUCAUCGAACUUUUGAACGCACAUUGCGCCCUCUGGUAUUCCGGGGGGCAUGCCUGUCCGAGCGUCAUUUGCAACCCUCAAGCCCGGCUUGUGUGAUGGGUGCCGUCCCCUACGGGACGCGCCCCGAAGGCAAUGGCGGCGUCGCGGUUAUCCGAUCAGCCAAAGUGUAUGGGGCUUUGUCACUCACUUUACGGCCCGGACCGGCGCCAGUCCGAAUCAAUCUUUUUUCUAAAGUUGACCUCGGAUCAGGUAGGGAUACCCGCUGAACUUAAGCAUAUCAAUAAGCGGAGGA